rnacentral:rRNA from 1 species
GACGAACGCUGGCGGCGUGCUUAACACAUGCAAGUCGAACGGAAAGGCCCUGCUUUUGUGGGGUGCUCGAGUGGCGAACGGGUGAGUAACACGUGAGUAACCUGCCCUUGACUUUGGGAUAACUUCAGGAAACUGGGGUAAUAACGGAUAGGGGGUCCUGGUUGAUGGUUGGGGGUGGAAAGGUUCGGCGGUUGGGGAUGGACUCGCGGCUUAUCAGGUUGUUGGUGGGGUAGUGGCUUACCAAGGCUUUGACGGGUAGCCGGCCUGAGAGGGUGACCGGCCACAUUGGGACUGAGAUACGGCCCAGACUCCUACGGGAGGCAGCAGUGGGGAAUAUUGCACAAUGGGCGGAAGCCUGAUGCAGCAACGCCGCGUGCGGGAUGACGGCCUUCGGGUUGUAAACCGCUUUCGCCUGUGACGAAGCGUGAGUGACGGUAAUGGGUAAAGAAGCACCGGCUAACUACGUG